AACCGUGAGACAGGUGCUGCAUGGCUGUCGUCAGCUCGUGUUGUGAAAUGUUGGGUUAAGUCCCGCAACGAGCGCAACCCUUAUCCUUUGUUGCCAGCGGUCCGGCCGGGAACUCAAAGGAGACUGCCAGUGAUAAACUGGAGGAAGGUGGGGAUGACGUCAAGUCAUCAUGGCCCUUACGACCAGGGCUACACACGUGCUA
rnacentral:rRNA from 1 species